rnacentral:tRNA from 5 species
AGCCCGGUGGUGUAGCGGCCAAGCAUGGCGGGCUUUGGCCCCGUCGACGGGAGUUCGAAUCUCCCCCGGGCUACCA